ACGGGUGAGUAAUGUCUGGGAAACUGCCUGAUGGAGGGGGAUAACUACUGGAAACGGUAGCUAAUACCGCAUGACGUCUUCGGACCAAAGUGGGGGACCUUCGGGCCUCACGCCAUCAGAUGUGCCCAGAUGGGAUUAGCUAGUAGGUGGGGUAAUGGCUCACCUAGGCGACGAUCUCUAGCUGGUCUGAGAGGAUGACCAGCCACACUGGAACUGAGACACGGUCCAGACUCCUACGGGAGGCAGCAGUGGGGAAUAUUGCACAAUGGGCGCAAGCCUGAUGCAGCCAUGCCGCGUGUAUGAAGAAGGCCUUCGGGUUGUAAAGUACUUUCAGCGAGGAGGAAGGCAUUGUGGUUAAUAACCACAGUGAUUGACGUUACUCGCAGAAGAAGCACCGGCUAACUCCGUGCCAGCAGCCGCGGUAAUACGGAGGGUGCAAGCGUUAAUCGGAAUUACUGGGCGUAAAGCGCACGCAGGCGGUUUGUUAAGUCAGAUGUGAAAUCCCCGAGCUUAACUUGGGAACUGCAUUUGAAACUGGCAAGCUAGAGUCUUGUAGAGGGGGGUAGAAUUCCAGGUGU
rnacentral:rRNA from 1 species